rnacentral:rRNA from 1 species
GACGAACGCUGGCGGCGUGCUUAACACAUGCAAGUCGAACGGUAAGGCCCUUCGGGGUACACGAGUGGCGAACGGGUGAGUAACACGUGGGUGAUCUGCCCUACACUUCGGGAUAAGCCUGGGAAACUGGGUCUAAUACCGGAUAGGACCACUGCCUGCAUGGGUGGUGGUGGAAAGCUUUUGCGGUGUGGGAUGGGCCCGCGGCCUAUCAGCUUGUUGGGGGGGUGAUGGCCUACCAAGGCGACGACGGGUAGCCGGCCUGAGAGGGUGACCGGCCACACGGGGACGGGGAUACGGCCCAGACUCAUACGUGAGGCAGCAGUGGGGAAUAUUGCACAAUGGGCGCAAGCCUGAUGCAGCGACGCCGCGUGAGGGAGGACGGCCUUCGGGUUGUAAACCUCUUUCAGCACCGACGAAGCGCAAGUGACGGUAGGUGCAGAAGAAGGACCGGCCAACUACGUGCCAGCCGCCGCCGUAA